rnacentral:rRNA from 2 species
CCUGAAUACAUAGGGUACUGAAGGCAGACCCGGGGAACUGAAACAUCUAAGUACCCGGAGGAAGAGAAAGCAAACGCGAUUUCCUGAGUAGCGGCGAGCGAAACGGAAUUAGCCCAAACCAAGAGGCUUGCCUCUUGGGGUUGUAGGACACUCAACAUGGAGUUACAAAGGAACGGGGUAAAUGAAGCGACCUGGAAAGGUCCGUCGAAGAAGGUAAAAACCCUGUAGUUGAAACUUCGUUCCCUCCUGAGUGGAUCCUGAGUACGGCGGGACACGAGAAAUCCCGUCGGAAGCAGGGAGGACCAUCUCCCAAGGCUAAAUACUCCCUAGUGACCGAUAGUGAACCAGUACCGUGAGGGAAAGGUGAAAAGCACCCCGGAAGGGGAGUGAAAUAGAUCCUGAAACCGUGUGCCUACAAGUAGUCAAAGCCCGUUAAUGGGUAAUGGCGUGCCUUUUGUAGAAUGAACCGGCGAGUUACGAUUUCAUGCGAGGUUAAGUUGAUGAGACGGAGCCGCAGCGAAAGCGAGUCUGAAUAGGGCGAAUGAGUAUGAGGUCGUAGACCCGAAACCAGGUGAUCUACCCAUGUCCAGGGUGAAGUUCAGGUAACACUGAAUGGAGGCCCGAACCCACGCACGUUGAAAAGUGCGGGGAUGAGGUGUGGGUAGCGGAGAAAUUCCAAUCGAACCUGGAGAUAGCUGGUUCUCUCCGAAAUAGCUUUAGGGCUAGCCUCAAGAUGAGAGUAUUGGAGGUAGAGCACUGAUUGGACUAGGGGCCCCCAACGGGUUACCGAAUUCAGUCAAACUCCGAAUGCCAAAUACUUAUUCUUGGGAGUCAGACUGCGAGUGAUAAGAUCCGUAGUCGAAAGGGAAACAGCCCAGACCACCAGCUAAGGUCCCAAAGUAUACGUUAAGUGGAAAAGGAUGUGGAGUUGCUUAGACAACCAGGAUGUUGGCUUAGAAGCAGCCACCAUUUAAAGAGUGCGUAAUAGCUCACUGGUCGAGUGACUCCGCGCCGAAAAUGUACCGGGGCUAAACGUAUCACCGAAGCUGUGGAUUGACACCGUAUGGUGUCGAUGGUAGGAGAGCGUUCUAAGGGCGUUGAAGUCAGACCGGAAGGACUGGUGGAGCGCUUAGAAGUGAGAAUGCCGGUAUGAGUAGCGAAAGAAGGGUGAGAAUCCCUUCCACCGAAU